rnacentral:rRNA from 1 species
UGAGGAAUCCUGCGCAAUGGGCGAAAGCCUGACGCAGCGACGCCGCGUGGAGGAUGAAGGCCUUCGGGUCGUAAACUUCUGUUAAGUGGGAAGAAAGGCGCAGCUUUAAUACAGUUGCGAGAUGACGGUACCAUUAGAGAAAGCACCGGCUAACUUCGUGCCAGCAGCCGCGGUAAUACGAAGGGUGCGAGUGUUAUUCGGAUUGAUUGGGCGUAAAGGGUGCGCAGACGGUAUGUUAAGUCGAUUGUUAAAUUUCCCAGCCUAACUGGGAGCAAGCGGUUGAAACUGGCAAGCUAGAGGGUGGAAGAGAGAAGUGGAAUUCUCGGAGUAGCGGUAAAAUGCGUAGAUCUCGAGGGGAACACCGAUGGCGAAGGCAGCUUCUUGGUCCAUUUCUGACGUUCAUGCACGAAAGCGCGGGUAGCAAACAGG